rnacentral:rRNA from 1 species
UACGGGGGGGGCAAGCGUUGUUCGGAAUUACUGGGCGUAAAGGGCGCGUAGGCGGCCUUCUAAGUCGAACGUGAAAUCCCCGGGCUCAACCCGGGAACUGCGUCCGAUACUGGAAGGCUUGAAUCCGGGAGAGGGAUGUGGAAUUCCAGGUGUAGCGGUGAAAUGCGUAGAGAUCAUGAGGAAGACCAGUGGCGAAGGCGGGUCUCUGGACAGUUCCUGACACUGAGGCACGAAGGCCAGGGGAGCAAACGGG